AGGCGGUGCCGGAGCCCCGAGCGUCUGGGGCACGUCGACUGCCCGGAUCUUGGGCGGUGGAGACACGGCUCCCGCCCCGGGUGGCGCGCGCAGGAGGGAGGUCCCGGGCGCGGCCCCGCCUGGGCCGGCGCUGGGCUUGCCUGGGCUUGUUCGGAGCCGGCGCUUCCCUCCGCGACCACGCAGAGCCGGGGGAUUUGGAGAUUUUGCCGGAGCCUCGCCGCCAAACUCGGGGAGGAGGGGGCCGGAGCCCGCGCCCCGCUCCCCGCGUCCGUCCGAGGGGAGCGCAGAUGAGGAGACUGAAGCCUGGGGGGCCGUCCAGGCACAGGUGCCGUGAUGGCAGAGCCAGGGCUCGAGCGUGUGCGGCAUGACCGUCACUCCGCUGCAACCUCGGUGGAGGACAGCAAGGCCCCGCCCAGGAGCUGACGUGGCCUGAAGCCCUUUGAGAACUGUUCCCGUGGGCCUGGCGUCCAGCCACCGGACCCACCUUCUGUUGGUGAGAAUUUCUGUGAGCAUUUCCGGCAUUUUCCCCAUCCCCCCUGGAUUGGGAGGACCUGCCCUCCGGGGAGUUGGUACCAUCAGGGCUACUCCCUCAUUCCCUCGGGUAAAAGGUCCCAGGAAUUUUUUGAGAAAAACGGAUCCACAGAAGAUGGAGGCCGAGUCAGCAGACAGAGAAGGGAGAGCCCGUGAAGAGUCCAGACACUUUAAGUUUAGAGUCCAGAUGACUCAGGAGAGAUGUCCCAGCGCCUGACUGGCUGGGGGCAGGUCACAGGAUGGGAGCGGAGAGGAGAGGGGAACCCACGUGCCGUGCGGAGCAGGGACCUCCGCUGGUGAACGCACACCUGUGAGGGGCCCGGCACCGGCCCCGGCCCUGCCCUGGCAGCCGCGCCAGUCCCGGAGGCGGCAGCAAGCCCGACGAGUCGGACAGGUGGAGCCGGCCACGGCCACGGGGCCACAGCCGAAGGUCUGCCCUCCCGCAGCCCACAAAGCAGUUCCCUAGACCAGCAGCGCCGACCCCGCAGCAAGACGUGUGGGGCCUGGGGCUCAAGGGCCCUGUGAGGAGUGAAGGCAAAGUCAGGUCCCGCCCUGAGCUCGGGCCUUGAAGCGCCUGUGUUCCUGCAGCAGGCGCUUGCCGGUAAGGGAUGGGCCAGGGGCCCCUCGGUCAGAGGAGCGUUCGUGUAAACCCAGCCGUCACUCUGACCCCGGGUUGUGACUUCCUCGGAAAGUCUGACUCUGUGUGUUUUGUGGGUGGGCCUUGCCUGGUCAGGUGAAGGCCUUUAGGAGCAGAACUGGGGUUUCUCUGGGGAAGAAGAGACUCCGCCAGUGGACUCUGUGUGGCUGCCUGAGAGGCGCCCGCCUGCCCGGCUGCCCUCCAGCCCCGGGUCACGUAAGCCAUUUCCUUGAAAUGAAUCUUUUCAUCUCCACCUCCUUCCGCUGUUUCUCCAGCAGAACUCUGACUGAUACACUCUCUAAACCAGUGAUGGCGAACCUAUGACACGCGUGUCAGAGGUGACACGCCAACUCAUUUUUUUGGGUGAUUUUUCUUUGUUAAAUGGCAUUUAAAUAUAUAAAAUAAAUAUCAAAAAUAUAAGUCUUUGUUUUACUAUGGUUGCAAAUAUCAAAAAAUUUCUCUAUAUGACACGGCACCAGAGUUAAGUUAGGGUUUUUCAGAAUGCUGACACGCCGAGCUCAAAGGGUUCGCCAUCACUGCUCUAAAUGGUGCUCGGGAAGGCGGGGGGGGGGGGGGGGGUUGUGU